UACGUAGGGUGCGAGCGUUGUCCGGAACUAUUGGGCGUAAAGAGCUCGUAGGCGGCUUGUCGCGUCGGAUGUGAAAGCCCGGGGCUUAACUCCGGGUCUGCAUUCGAUACGGGCAGGCUAGAGUUCGGUAGGGGAGAUCGGAAUUCCUGGUGUAGCGGUGAAAUGCGCAGAUAUCAGGAGGAACACCGGUGGCGAAGGCGGAUCUCUGGGCCGAUACUGACGCUGAGGAGCGAAAGCGUGGGGAGCGAACAGG
rnacentral:rRNA from 1 species